rnacentral:rRNA from 1 species
CGAAGGACCCGAGCGUUAUCCGGAUUUAUUGGGCUUAAAGGGUGCGUAGGCGGAUUAGUAAGUCAGUGGUGAAAGCCCGUCGCUUAACGGCGGAACUGCCAUUGAUACUGCUAGUCUUGAGUAUGGUUGAGGUGGGCGGAAUGUGUCAUGUAGCGGUGAAAUGCUUAGAUAUGACCCAGAACACCAAUUGCGAAGGCAGCUCGCUAAGCCAUAACUGACGCUGAGGCACGAAAGCGUGGGGAGCAAACAGGAUUAGAUACCCUGGUAGUCCACGCCCUAAACUAUGAUCACUCGUUGUUGGCGAUACACAGUCAGCGACUAAGGGAAACCAUUAAGUGAUCCACCUGGGAAGUACGACCGCAAGGUUG